rnacentral:rRNA from 1 species
UACGUAGGGGGCUAGCGUUGUCCGGAAUCAUUGGGCGUAAAGAGCGUGUAGGCGGCCCGGUAAGUCCGCUGUGAAAGUCGGGGGCUCAACCCUCGGAUGCCGGUGGAUACUGUCGGGCUUGAGUACGGAAGAGGCGAGUGGAGUUCCUAGUGUAGCGGUGAAAUGCGCAGAUAUCAGGAGGAACACCAAUUGCGAAGGCAGCUCGCUGGGACGUUACUGACGCUGAGACGCGAAAGCGUGGGGAGCGAACAGG